GUAGCGGCGAGCGAAGCGGAAACAGCCCAAACCAACAAGCUUGCUUGUUGGGGUUGUAGGACUCAGCUGUGGUAGCUGUUGUGAAUAGUCGAAUGACCUGGGAAGGUCAGCCGAAGAGGGUAAAAGCCCUGUAGACGAAAUUGACAACACACCUAUGAGUAUCCUGAGUACGGCGGAACACGAGAAAUUCCGUCGGAAUCCGGGAGGACCAUCUCCCAAGGCUAAAUACUCUCUAGUGAUCGAUAGUGAACCAGUACCGUGAGGGAAAGGUGAAAAGCACCCCGGAAGGGGAGUGAAAUAGAACCUGAAACCGUGUGCCUACAAAAAGUCAGAGUCCGUUAAUGGGUGAUGGCGUGCCUUUUGCAGAAUGAACCGGCGAGUUACGAUUGCAUGCGAGGUUAAGCUGAAGAAGCGGAGCCGUAGCGAAGGCGAGUCUGAAUAGGGCGAGUAAGCAUGUAGUCGUAGACCCGAAACCAAGUGACCUACCCAUGUCCAGGUUGAAGGUGCGGUAAAACGCACUGGAGGACCGAACCCACGUACGUCGAAAAGUGCGGGGAUGAGGUGUGGGUAGCGGAGAAAUUCCAAACGAACUUGGAGAUAGC
rnacentral:rRNA from 1 species